rnacentral:rRNA from 1 species
AUUGAACGCUGGCGGCAGGCCUAACACAUGCAAGUCGAACGGUAACAGGAAGAAGCUUUCUUCUUUGCUGACGAGUGGCGGACGGGGGAGUAAUGUCUGGGAAACUGCCUGUUGGAGGGGGGUAACUACUAGAAACGCUAGCUAAUACCGCAUAACGGCCCAAGACCAAAAAGGGGGACCUUCUGGCCUCUUGCCAUCGGAUGUUCCCAGAUGGGAUUAGCUAGUGGGUGGGGGAACGGCUCACCUAGGCGACGCUCCCUAGCUGGGCUGAGAGGAUGACCAGCCAAACUGGGACUUAGACACGGGCCCGACUCCGACGGGAGGGAGCAGUGGGGAAUAUUGGACAAGGGGCGCAAAGCGGAUCCAGCCAUACCGGGUGGGUGAAAAAGGCCUUCGGGUUGUUAAGCUCUUUUGGGGGGGAAGAAAAGGAGCAAGUUAAUACCCCUCUGUUCUGACGGUACCCAAAGAAUAAGCACCGGCUAACUUCGUG